GAUGAACGCUGGCGGCGUGCUUAACACAUGCAAGUCGAACGGAAAGGCCCUGCUUUUGUUGGGUGCUCGAUUGGCGCACGCGUGAGUAACACGUGAGUAACCUGCCCUUGACUUUGGGAUAACUUCAGGAAACUGCGGCUAAUACCGGAUAGGAGCUCCUGCUGCAUGGUGGGGGUUGGAAAGUUUCGGCGGUUGGGGAUGGACUCGCGGCUUAUCAGCUUGAUGGUCGGGUAGUGGCUUACCAAGGCUUUGACGGGUAGCCGGCCUGAGAGGGUGACCGGCGACAUUGGGACUGAGAGACGGCCCAGACUCGUACGGGAGGCAGCAGUGGGGAGUAUUGCACAAUGGGCGGAAGCCUGAUGCAGCAACGCCGCGUGCGGGAUGACGGCCUUCGGGUUGUAAACCGCUGUCUCCUGUGACGAAGCGUGAGUGACGGUAAUGGGUAAAGAAGCACCGGCUAACUACGUG
rnacentral:rRNA from 1 species